rnacentral:rRNA from 1 species
GACGAACGCUGGCGGCGUGCUUAACACAUGCAAGUCGAACGGGCCUUGUCCCCUUUUUUUGGGGGUGGGGUUAGUGGCGAACGGGUGAGUAACACGUGAGUAACCUGCCCCUCACUUCUGGAUAACCGCUUGAAAGGGUGGCUAAUACGGGGUGUUCUGGCCUGCUCGCAUGGGUGGGUUUGGAAAGAUUCGACCGGUUUUGGUUGUUUUGGUGGGGGAUGGGCUCGCGGCCUAUCAGCUUGUUGGUGGGGUGAUGGCCUGCCAAGGCUUUGACGGGUAGCCGGCCUGAGAGGGUGGGCGGUCACACUGGGACUGAGACACGGCCCAGACUCCUACGGGAGGCAGCAGUGGGGAAUAUUGCACAAUGGGCGCAAGCCUGAUGCAGCGACGCCGCGUGAGGGAUGGAGGCCUUCGGAUUGUGAACCUCUUUCGCCAGUGAAGAAGGUCCUGCUCUUUGUGGUGGGGUUGACGGUAGCUGGGUUAAUGAAGCGCCGGCUAACUACGUG